AUUUUAUCCAGUUUAAUUCACUAAUCAUGAGGAAAAGUUUAUAUGCAAGUGUAAUUACGUAUUGUUUUAUGGAAACAAUAUUGAAUACAGCUUACUUUUUAUGGAUAUAAUAUUGAAUACAGCUUAUGGCAGUGGCAUAUAUGUAAAUAAACAGAUUUAAAUUCAAUAUGUCCUUCAAAUAUUAUGUGCUGUUACUUACUUUGAGGCUAUUGUACUGCUAGAAGAAGAAGAAUGUUUUAGAUUCUUACCCAAAAGCUGUUCAAAAAUUAAAAGAUACCAAAUAUACUUCAGAUUUACAAACAGAAGUUAAGAAAAUUUGUCAACGACCAAAACGUAAAUGAAAAGCAAGGUCUUGCUUUAGUGUUAAGGCAAUAACUUGAUGAUGUUGAAAAUGAUAGUGUUUACCAGAUUAUUAAUCUUCAUAUUCACAAGAUAAUGAAGCAGCUAGAGUACUUGGUCAUAGUUAUCAAUCAGAUGCAGCGCUAAUACGUGACAAUUUUUUAGAUAACAGUUUUGAAGACGAUUUUCAGAAAAUAGAAAAAAUAAUUUUGUUUCAAAGCAAGCUAGAACAAGGAUUGAGCAUUCCAUUCUGAGCAUUCCACAGACUUUUAAUUUUAAUUAUUAAUUUUAAUUAUCAAUACUCAACAUAUACAACCAUUUGCUGAUAGAGGUUUUGAAUUUGCUGAUGAGGAUUUUGAACAAAAUUUUGUUCAGGCUGGUUGCUGCUGUUUCUUCCAAACGUGGGACUGCAUCAAUGCUGUGAAAUUUAUGCUAAGGACCAUGUUGACUAAUCAAGAUUUAGAAAAUUUAACUGGACAGGACAACCCCUAAACACCAAAUUCGGGAAUGCAAAUGCCAUGGAGUUUUAAGUAUGUAUUAAUAAUAUUCUAAGAGUCUAAAUAAUUCUUGUAUCCUAAGCGGAAUCUCCAUCGGAUGAAUCGGAAUUCCAAAUGAAUAUUUGAUGUUUUUUUACAUAAAUAUUUAAAUAUAUAAGUUAGGUAAGACUAACUUUAAGGGGAAAGAAUUUUUUUUUUAAUUCUUAUUUCCUUAAAGAUUAAGAGCAACUUAGAUUUCGACUGAAAAAGGAAGUGGAGGACAUGAAUAAAAAACCUAUGUUUAAAUGGCCAGCAGUGGAUAGCCAAUGCUGCAUUCCAGAUGACAUCGUUUGGAAGCUUGAAAAAAUGACUACAAAAACAGGAUGUGGCUACUAUUUAGAUGACAAAGACUUUAACAAAUUUAUUUUCUGAAGGAAAUAGAGAUUUUUAUAUUUAAACUAUUCAACUUCAUGAAAAUUCGGAUUUAGCAGGUUUUAAACUCUUUCGGUACCAAAUUUCAGCAUCAUUACAAGCACCCUAUAAGACGCUAUAGCAAGGAAUAUUUCUACACGCAGCUGAACGAGUGAACUUAGUGAGUGUGAUAUUCAAAAAUAAAUCUUUCACUAUAUUCAUGGGUCAAUUGAUAAAGAUGGUGGUCGUAUGGUGAACGGAUGGUGGUCGAUGGUUGAUAAAGAUGGUGGUCGAUGGUUGAUAAAGAUGGUGGUCGAUGGUUGAUAAAGAUGGUGGUCGUAAAGAACGAAAAGAAAGGAAGAAACUAACAAACAACGCUGAUUAGCAAUAAUACGGAUAAUGAAUCACCUUCUUCAAACGAAGAAUAAUCUUUUAAAAAUUUAUUUUUUGGUUGAAAAAAUUGUUAAAUAAGUUUAAAAAAUCUCUUGUUUUAUGAA